CUGCCUGUGCAUUUCCAAAGCGAAUCUAGGCUUGCAUUUGCGCAAAAUGUGGAGUUUUUCAACAGUAGAUUUGGAUUUCUGUAUGUAGAACAGAACACAUAACAUUAACACCAAAGGUAUUUUGUUAUUCUACAUUGCAACCUUAGUAUUGGGUAUUUAUUUGAGUGCAAAUACCUUUUGCCAUACCCUGUAGUUGCCAAAUACAAUUAAUCUAGAUUGAUGUAGCAGUGCAAUGCAGUGCGAAGUGGACGAGAUUAGUUUAUAUAUUGAUUUGAAGCCUCGUGCAUGUAUUCUUGAGGCUCGUGUUUCUAUAUGGCAUUGUGUUUGAAAUCUUACAGCUGUGCUCGAUUGUUGCUUUGCUUUCUUUGUAGCUCACCAAGCGAGAGCUCUAGAUGGAAUCACAUGUUCUUCGCACUUCCUUUAUAUGUGCAAUACAACCAGUGCAGCUUUAUAACACAAUUAUCACUAAAAGAACACUCUCCCUGUGUGCCACAACAGACAUUCCUUAGAGCUAAUUUCUGUAAUUAAAGUUAAUGAGACAUUACACAGGUGAAAUGUAAGCACAGCUUUAUUGCAGCAACUUCUCAUCUGGCAGAUUAACUUACGACUGUAUCGCGGUGCAUACUCAAAGAUAGUGCAAAUGGAUAAAUUCAGCUUAUGCUCCUGUCGCACACUUAAGAAAAGUGAACAAUCGUAAAAAGUUUGCAGCGUUUCAAUAGCACUGGAUACCUUGUUUUGCGAAUCAAAGAUAGAGGAUUUAAUAUCGGUUUCUGCAGGUACACUGCAUUAUCUAAAACAAGACAGCACCAGAAUCUACUCGCAAGUAUGAAAUAGUAGCACCGCAUGUCUCGUGACAUGCAGCAAGUGCAAGUAGUUGUAAUGUCACACUCUGCACCUCAAUAUGGCAGCCUCGCGCAGGCAGCUCGCGUUUAUGCCAAAGAGCCUUCAUCACAGACGUCCAGAAAGCGCUUCCCCUAAUGCAAAUAACCAUUAGGAAUACAAGUAGGUGCCAUUUCUGAAGUGCUACCAGUGAAUAUGUCACUGUGCGGUUAUCCUCUGGCCUCGUUUUAUCCUGGCUUGCCAAUGAAAUAUUGUUAUUGGUUGUCAUUGCAAGGCAGUUGGUGUCUUUGCAAAUCACCAACUAAAGAUGGUUGCAUCUAUUUACAUCCAGCAUUAACCAUUACACAUGCACUACAAAUGGCUUCAUAUCGCUUACUUUAAGGAAAGUGCAAACACCUAAACAACUGUUAAUACUGCUUGUAUUGCUUGUAGGCCCACAUAGAACCGAUUAAAAUGAAAGUGCAAAGAUUUAGAUACAGUACACAAUACAGAAGAAAAAGAAUGAGGCCACAUCUUUAGUGAUGCUGUCUUAUUUUGAUUUUUUUAAAAUUCACGUCGUCAACAAAAAAAUAGCUCCAGCAGUGACAAAAUGUUUAACUACUGACCAUUGCAGAGCAGAAUUAUCGAAUUCCCGACCGACACAGCUAGUAGUCUACACUUUAUUAAAGUAAGGGUUGGUCUGUGUGCAGUGUUGAUGAUGUAUGUACUAUACAAUACACAAAGUGAGACCGCAUUUUUGAAAACACACGUUUAUAGUACUUUAUGUCUAGAAUCAUUUGGCUAAGUGGCCCUUCAAACUUGUCUUGAAUAUUACAGAUAAAGGCAACAUGACUGCGGCUGGGACAAGUAAAGCAGCAAGAUUUGAUUGCCACCUACCUAUCCAAACAAUGCAGCAUUCACUUGGUUCAACACGCUUAAAAGGACGCUAAAGAGAAAUGUUCAGUGAAAAUAGAUUAAUAAAUUACAUUACUGGAAUGCAA